GUGCACUCUUAAUAACAGUAGCCACCACACAGUCCACAGUAGCUUUCUUGAGCUUGCUUGCUCCUCCUAACUGAAAUUUGAUCACUAGCUUCCCCAGUGUCCCUUUUCCCUAGUCCCAGUAACCACCGCUCUACUCUUUUGGUGUGACUUUUUAAAUGCUCCUUAAAUGACAUCCGUAAGUAUUUGUCUGGUGCCUACUUUGCUUAACAUCCUCCAGGUUCAUUCCACAUCGUCCCAAGUGACAGAAUUUCCUUCAUCUUAAAACCGGACUGAUCUCUGAGCCCUCGAACACCACACAAUGAGAUCGGCCUCCUGGAUGGAGUUGGCCGCAAGUGGAGGGGUUUAAAAGGCUGAAAACUUUCCCAGUGCCCCUCCUUGGCGUAGAUGGAACUUCGGCCUGAGUUGAAGACAGGUUUAGAGCAGAGCUUUUGCCUUUGUUCUUUACAAGGUAAAGAUUUAACCCGGAUUGUAACAAAAGACACAAAGGAAAGACGCUUUUUCUAGCACACCCGGCCGUUGCCCUGGCUGCCCCAACUGCGCUCGGUCUCAUCGGACCACUAGACGAGACAGUAGUGAAAAACAGAUUUACUCAAUGUGGCCGCGUUGGGAAUUUCCUGACUUGAAGUUUAGGUUGAAAUAGUGGCCAAGAGAUAAGCAUAAGAGGGCCUGGUCCAGGUGUGGUCCGGCCGGUCGUUGACUCAUCCUGUCUUGGCUCCAGUCACAGUUCCUUGGAAUCCAAAGCCUGAUAGCUGAAGGAAACGACACAAGUGGCUCUCUUUAGAAUUUCUUCCAUCCUGCCUAAACCGCUACUUGGUGACUUAAUCCCUGUCGGAGCCGAAUAAAAGUGAUCGAGUUCACAAACAGUCCUGUGGAACUUGCUUUUUUGUGUAUGUCCUGUGAUAGUCGACUGUUUAACGGAUAUUGGGUUUCUCUGUGUUUGCGCCUUCUCAGUAAAGUCUGUCAAAUUACUGGCAAUGGCAUGUGGGUAAGUCAGUUUCAAGAGGUCAGGAACUACGAUGGAGACAGUCUAACAAUGCCAUUACUUCUGUGCUUUGUAGUAACUGUUUGGAGAUUCAGAAUGCUUUGGAUGAAAUGUGACAUCCUUGUUUCCCAUUGAUAGCUGCUCCAUACAUUUUACCAAGUAGCAGGGCCACCAGAAUGACACUUAUCUUAAAUACAACACUCCCACCCUGCAGGCCUUGUUGCUGUUUGGGGGCUUCCUGAGUGGACCACCAUUCCAGAGCCUGUGCAUUUGUCCCAUGGUCACAUGGAAGUGGACUUUACAUCUUGAAACAAUGGCAUCACUUCAAAGGGAGAACUUACCCAUCCAAAAUAGCCCCAGCUCUGAUUCUCCAGCCUCUUGUCCAAUCCUUGGCUUGGUAGCACUUGAUGGCUAUCUGAUAUUAUACAAAUCUAUGGUUCUCUUGUGUCUGCCCCACAAUUAUUACCUAUAAGGUAUUAACUAUGUAAGUGAAAGCUAGAUUGAAUUUAACUUUCUCUAGGGAUACUUAGACUCCUCCUGUGCCAUUUAUUUUAUAGAUGUUAUCCUAGGUGUUUGGGAUUUAGCAAUGAAUCAAAAGAUCACUCUUGGUGCCUGCAUUCUUGUGAAAGAUGAUGAACAACCCACAUUUAACAAUUUUGCCAGAAAUUGUUAAAUGCUCUAUAAAUGAAAUGGGGGUUGAGAGUGCAGAGGUGGCUUGUGAUUUUUAAACACAGGUGAGCUGGGAAAGUAAUAUGUAUGGUGGAAUGAAAAGUCCUUUUAGAAGGAAAUUACUUUCAUGCUCUGUCCUGAGGCCUGCAGCAGGGCCACUAUGACAAAUGUCACUGUCCUUUAUAGUGUAUAGGUGAGAGUUGAAAGUAUCCAGAUUUUUCAACUUAACUCACCACAGCCAUUGAAGAGACCUGAAUCCUUCCCAUAGGAGAGACUAACCAGAGAACCACUGUGGAUGUGCCCAGAACAACUAUAUAGCCAACCCCCCAUAUCCUUAAUUCUGUAAGCACAGAUUUAACAAACCUUAAAUUGGAAAUAUUAAGAAAGCACCUUUUGAACAUAUAUAUUUUUUUGGGGGUGGGGGGUCAUUAUUAACUAAGCAAGAAAAGAUAUCAAAUUUCUGAAUUUUUUUUCUCUUGCAUGACUUCACUCUGUACUUCCCUAGUUCAAACGGUCCUGAAAGGACUUCUUAGCAUCCUCCUCCAGCUGUCUAGUUCUAAGGUGACAGGUAUCAAGCUUGGAGGGAUAGCAACCAUCUGCAAAGUACUUACAUUGGGUAUUACUUCUAUGUCUGAUUGAAAAUACACAGGAGGGCUGAAGAGAUGGCUCAGUGGUAAAGAACACUGGCUGCUCUUCCAAAGGUCCUAAGUUCAGUUCCCAGGAACUACAUGGUGGCUCACAACCAUCUAUAAUGAGAUCUGGUGCCCUCUCCUAUUUGCAGGUAAAACACUGUAUACAUAGUGAAUAAAUAAAGCUUCAAAAAAGAAAGAAAAGAAAAGAAAACACAGGAAGGAGGAUGUGCCCUGGCUGUAUGCACGUUACAGUUUCUGCUGGCUUUGAACCCCAGAUCUUCCUAAGGACGGGGAUUCUAUGUGUGUGCUAGCACUGUGACUCGAAGUGAACUGUCUUGUGAUUGGAAAAUUCAUUGUUAUAGUUACGUGGAGUCCUUUAUCUUUGGCAUUACCUUCAUCAAAACUUUUCUAUGGGAGUCCUUCCUCAUCAAAGCCCAGCCAUGUAUUCUUUUGUCAUUGGCAACACAAAGAAGGAGGGCUGUUUUCUCUGUGCUCUUAAGCCUUAUCAAAUGGUCUGUUUUAUCAUUUUUGUUAUAUUGUGGUGUGGC
rnacentral:lncRNA from 1 species